UAUCUUUCCGGAUGAUUACUUUGAGAAAAUUAGAGUGCUCAAAGCAGGCUUUUGCCUUGAAUAGUUUAGCAUGGAAUAAUAGAGUAGGACUUUGGUUCUAUUUUGUUGGUUUUAGGUACCAAAGUAAUGGUUAAUAGGAACAGUUGGGGGCAUUCGUAUUUAACUGUCAGAGGUGAAAUUCUUAGAUUUGUUAAAGACGAACUACUGCGAAAGCAUUUGCCAAGGAUGUUUUCAUUAAUCAAGAACGAAAGUUAGGGGAUCGAAGACGAUCAGAUACCGUCGUAGUCCUAACCAUAAACUA
rnacentral:rRNA from 1 species